rnacentral:rRNA from 1 species
GACGAACGCUGGCGGCGUGCUUAACACAUGCAAGUCGAACGGAAAGGCCCUGCUUUUGUGGGGUGCUCGAGUGGCGAACGGGUGAGUAACACGUGAGUAACCUGCCCUUGACUUUGGGAUAACUUCAGGAAACUGGGGCUAAUACCGGAUAGGAGCUCAUGCUGCAUGGUGGGGGUUGGAAAGUUUCGGCGGUUGGGGAUGGACUCGCGGCUUAUCAGCUUGUUGGUGGGGUAGUGGCUUACCAAGGCUUUGACGGGUAGCCGGCCUGAGAGGGUGACCGGCCACAUUGGUCCUGAGAUACGGCCCAGACUCCUACGUGAGGCAGCAGUGGGGAAUAUUGCACAAUGGGCGGAAGCCUGAUGCAGCAACGCCGCGUGCGGGAUGACGGCCUUCGGGUUGUAAACCGCUUUCGCCUGUGACGAAGCGUGAGUGACGGUAAUGGGUAAAGAAGCACCGGCUAACUACGUG